rnacentral:rRNA from 1 species
AGAGUUUGAUCAUGGCUCAGAAUCAACGCUGGCGGCGCGCUUAACACAUGCAAGUCGAGCGAGAAAGGGGAGCAAUCCCUGAGUACAGCGGCGUACGGGUGAGUAACACGUGGGUAAUCUACCUCUGAGUGGGGAAUAACCCUGGGAAACCGGGGCUAAUACCGCAUAAGCCUGAGAAGGGAAAGCAGCAAUGCGCUGGGAGAGGAGCCCGCGGCCGAUUAGCUAGUUGGUGAGGUAACGGCUCACCAAGGCGACGAUCGGUAGCCGGCCUGAGAGGGCACACGGCCACACUGGCACUGGGACACGGGCCAGACUCCUACGGGAGGCAGCAGUGGGGAAUCUUGCACAAUGGAGGCAACUCUGAUGCAGCGACGCCGCGUGAGCGAUGAAGCCCUUCGGGGUGUAAAGCUCUUUCGGCAGGAACGAUAAUGACGGUACCUGAAGAAGAAGCUGCGGCUAACUACGUGCCAGCAGCCGCGGUAAUACGUAGGCAGCGAGCGUUGUUCGGAAUUACUGGGCGUAAAGAGUGUGUAGGCGGUGCUCUAAGUUCGGUGUGAAAUCUCCUGGCUUAACUGGGAGGGUGCGCCGGAAACUGGAGUGCUCGAGCGUGGGAGAGGAAAGCGGAAUUCCUGGUGUAGCGGUGAAAUGCGUAGAUAUCAGGAGGAACACCUGUGGUGUAGACGGCUUUCUGGACCAUAGCUGACGCUGAGACACGAAAGCGUGGGUAGCAAACAGGAUUAGAUACCCUAGUAGUCC